rnacentral:rRNA from 1 species
UCCUCCCUCUGGCGGCGUGCUUAACACAUGCAAGUCGAACGGAAAGGCCCUGCUUUUGUGGGGUGCUCGAGUGGCGAACGGGUGAGUAACACGUGAGUAACCUGCCCUUGACUUUGGGAUAACUUCAGGAAACUGGGGCUAAUACCGGAUAGGAGCUCCUGCUGCAUGGUGGGGGUUGGAAAGUUUCGGCGGUUGGGGAUGGACUCGCGGCUUAUCAGCUUGUUGGUGGGGUAGUGGCUUACCAAGGCUUUGACGGGUAGCCGGCCUGAGAGGGUGACCGGCCACAUUGGGACUGAGAUGCGGCCCAGACUCCUACGGGAGGCAGCAGUGGGGAAUAUUGCACAAUGGGCGGAAGCCUGAUGCAGCAACGCCGCGUGCGGGAUGACGGCCUUCGGGUUGUAAACCGCUUUCGCCUGUGACGAAGCGUGAGUGACGGUAAUGGGUAAAGAAGCACCGGCUAACUACGUG